AGCACCAUAUGCUUUUGUUCAAAAUCCAUUUAGAACAGGCAUUGAGAUUGGUUGCCUGGUAUACGCCUGGUUGCAUCAUAUACCUCAAACAUCAGGUAUCAAUCAUUUUCUUUUUGCCACAGCCAUAAUGUCAGCGAGCACUUUGUACUAUGAAUUCGUCAGGACAAUAAUAAGUUCAAGAAUGGGAACAUUUUCAUUUUCUA